rnacentral:lncRNA from 1 species
UUUCCAUUGAAAUUAUCUUCCGUUCCAUUCAUAAUUGGAUUACGAAAUUCCUUCGUUAUCAGACGUGUUUACUUUCUGUAGCAGACAAAUGGAUGUUGUAGAGCAAACUGGCGGGCUGAUAAGGGAGCCCAUAAUAACAAUCUGUGAAUUAAGUGACUAUGCACAGGGACUUGAUGAAAAAGACAAACGACAGGCACAGUUUUUCGAUAACAACGGCUUACACUACCCACAUUUGUUGUGGAAUAAAAAAUGGGCAAUCUAUUCAAACUAUUGUUUGUGAAUGGUUUGUUGUUCAUCCCCUUGGAGCAGA